rnacentral:lncRNA from 1 species
AAAAAAUCUAAAUAUCUUUCUUUCUGGGCGAAGCUUUCCCAAGCCACAGCUGCAGAACGGGGCUUUCUUUUCUCCCUUUAUUUAAAGAUAAUAUGAAUCUCAGUCAAAGAAAGCCACUGAUUUUAGGUGUCUAAAAGCAAAGAUUUAGAAAGAAGAAAGGAGACUUGUUCAGAUCUGCCUGUUUUGGAAAUGAAGAGAGUUUUAUUUCUUACAGACCCGAGGAUUUAUGGAUUUAUGUUUCCUCCGCAAGACAAACGACCCAAGCACGUUUUAUUUCCAGUACUGACUCUAAUCAAUUUCCUUUGUUACUAAAGAAAUAAUUUCUACAAGUAAAAGAGUUAAAGUGCACUGGGUUCUAGUGUUUGGGGUUAUUUGAAACUUUUUUCUUUUUCAGCCUCUAGAGAUGCGCUUCAGCUAAUUCCUAGUUACGGAGUUAUCUUUCCUUUUGCCAGGAGUCUUGAUCCACGUGAGACAAACAGGACGGGCUUAGAAUCACAGAACGUUCGGGCUGGCGGGCCCUAGCCCGGUGCCGCGGUUUUACAGUUGAGACUCGGAGGCCCAGAGAGCUGGAGCGUCUUGCCCAGCGUCACCCAGCGCGGAGGGCCGGGGACCUCCGAGUCGCAGCCGACCUGGGGCUUGCACACCUCCACUUGGCUGCUUCUGACGCUCGCUGCAGAGCCGUCCCUCCUCUGUUACCGCUCGCUUGGAGACAAAGCCCUCUUCCUGCUCCUCCCCCAUCGCAAACAAACGGCCCCGGCGUGCGGAGGCUCCGGCCGAGGCCGGCUGCGGCGCGGGGACGCAGGGGGGCCGGCUCAGCGCCCGGCUCCGGCGGGGCGGCGGCUCGCGGGGGUCAAGUCCAGGUUGCGGCGCCGGCGGGCGGGGGCGGGGCGGCCGCGCGCUCCCGGUCUUCGCGCCGGGCGCGGAAUGUUGGGCCCGGUCCCUGGCGAGACAGCAAAAAGGAAGAUGAGCUCUGUGUUACCCAUCUUACGGAUUUUGAGAUACCUUGAUUAAGCUGGAGCCCAUGAGAGGCUGGAAGUGGUGGGUGCAUCUACAGAACAAAGGGAGCUUAACAAUCCAUGAAGAGGAGGAGUUUGAGGUAAUUAAAUUAAAAAAUUAAACAAUGUUUUUGUUUUGCAUGUUGAUUAUUGCCCAAUUCAACAGGGUGUUUUACUUCGUAACGACAUUUCCACUUUCAGGAAAACUCAAGUUAUUGGUAAAGUUGGAAAUAUAUUAAAGACAGUAGAAUGGAAUUAUCUAUGCUGCAAGUGGAAUUUCUGUCUCAGAUUUAAAAAUACCAACAACCUUAUAAACAAAGAAGAUUAAUGGGAUAAUUGCUAUCUCUGUUUUACUUUGGCUGGUAAAAAUAUAUGGGUAUUAUUGGGCGUAUAUUACAAUGUUUAUGUAUUGUAAUUUUUUAACCUAAUACAAAGUUUUUUCAAUAUAUUAAGGGCU